AAGGGCUAUCCCUUUCACAGUUAGAACUGCUAGACACAUGGGCUCAAUAAGAGUAUGUAUAGGACCUAGACAUGCCCCUUGCUUGGGUACAAGGAUAGAUCCUUCCAUACAGUCAUUAAGACUAUAAUAAAAUUCACGUAUAUUUCGAAUCUUUACUGGUCGUGCAGACUACCGCCAACCUUCAAAGGUACUGAAAUAGCUAGAUCUGGAUGGCCGUGUGCGGACUACCGCCCGCCUACCCUGAUCCUGCUGUAAAAUGGUAUCAGAGCAGGUAGUGCAUAAUUCCAGCACUUUUCGGGUUAUAACACAAAUGAGAACGUUUAUAACUUCUCAAAAAUCAUUAUCAAACAGAUUAUAUCUGUUGAAGAAUGGGGGAUUUCAACAAUGAAAGAAAGGCAGAUAAACCUUACUAAAUCACCUAUGAAUUUUACUUAUUGGGAUUAUAUCCAAGCAUUUGAUAGAGUGCUUUAUUAUAACAAUGAGAGGCAUAAACAUACUUGGUUUAUUAAUGUAUGUGCAAAGGUAUUUACAGGACCUAUCCCCAACUGGUUUUUAAAUUGGCGGUCAUACUACGGUCCCACAACAAAAAUCCUGCCUGAGCCACUCCUUAAGUUAUACAAAGAAUGGGCAAAAAUUUCACCAUUCCUAACCGAGUUAUAUCACGCAAAUCAUAUCUGUUGCCUAGAAAAAAUUGAUCAAAUUUGCUUCUUUAUUGAAUUCUCUAUCCCAUGGAUUCAUAAAUGGACUCCUGAAUUAGGUUUUAUGGAGGAACAAAUCCCUUGCUUAUACAGGGUAUUUUACAACAAUUUUUGGGACAAAUUGAUGAAGAAUGAUCCCAAAAUAAAAAUAUUAUAUGGACAAGAAUUAUUGGAUUCUAUUAAAACACAAAUCCAAGUAUACUCGUCCACUCCACAGAAGAAAAUAUUUGAUGACAGCUCCGUCAAACAUAUUGCUCGAAGAAUCUCUGUUCAAGACGGAGAUAAAACCGAAUUAGUAAAUAAAUAUCUUGGAGAAGUAAAAAGAAAGUUACUUCAAACUUUGAAUCAAUGUGAAAGAUUAGACACAUCAAUGCACAGUGAAACAAGUGGAGAUGAUAUCGCGGAAGAAGAUUCACAGCCGAUGCAGCCAGAAAUAAUAUUAUCUGACAAAGAGAAAGAAAAGGUGGAAAAAUUUCUCCAACAAAUGAACGAUUUAGACAGAAGAGGACUUUGACUAAAGCCGCCGAAGACCCCACACAACAGUAGAUACAUUGUUCCCAACAGUAGAAACACUGUAUAAGGGACCCAGAUACGCUAUUACCAAUAGUAGAAACACUGUAUAGAGACCCAGAUGUGGGACCCAAUUUACUAUUUAAAGAUUCUUUAUGUUUCCUUUUUCUUUCUUUAAAUAGAGGAGCUCUUCAUUUGAAGAGCAUCAGAUUGUAAAACCCCUCUCUCUCUCUCUUGUAAAGACUUUUAGCUUCUUAGCUUCUUCAUUUUGUAAAUCAGUGGAAGUAAAUAAAGUUUCAAAGUUCAGUUCACCAUCUUCAGGGCCUAGCAUCCCGGCCUUAAAGGUAUUUGUUUAUUUUAAUUUUUAUAAGUAUUUAAUUACUUUGUUUCUCUCCCCAGUCGUGACUAUAUCCGGCUAAACGGAUUCAUAUCUAUGUUGAAGAACUAAUUUCUCUUGCAUAUUAACCAUGAAGAAUCCAGACUCUUUCAAAAUAUAAAGGAAUAUUAAUAUAGUUUCUUGGCUUGGUUCCAAGAUGGUGGUACAGUCGACUCUUGUACUACUCUUAUUGGCUUUGCCUUAGUAGCUACGUCUAGCCAGCUGUGACAUUAAAGCCCGCUGAAGUUGUCAAAAGGGCUAUCCCUUUCACAGUUAGAACUGCUAGACACAUGGGCUCAAUAAGAGUAUGUAUCGGACCUAUACAGGCCCCUUGCUUGGGUAAAAGGAUAGAUCCUUCCAUACAGUCAUUAAGACUAUAGUAAAAUUCCCGUAUAUUUCGAAUCUUUACUGGUCGUGCGGACUACCGCCAACCUUCAAAGGUACUGAAAUAGCUAGAUCUGGAUGGCCGUGUGCGGAC
rnacentral:lncRNA from 1 species